rnacentral:lncRNA from 1 species
ACGGGACACCUGCAUCUGCCAACAAGACUGGAAGCAGGGACAGAGACGGCGAAGUUUGACGGUCUGGAAAGCAGAGACCAGCAGGGCUGACUGCUUGGGAGCACGAGGGACAGCUCUCCACCGACCGAAGGAGGAGAAUGCUAUUUAUUUCAGCACCAAAUAUCCGGACAGCGCCUCUCGGGAGGUCCGAGAAGAGAACCGCGAUCUGUUUCAGCACCGGGGCUCAGGACAGUUCCCAGCGGGCUCCGUUUCGUCUCCAGAACCCUGGACAGCUCCUCCAGCUUGGAAUGCACUCCCUCCACCUCCAACCAGAGCUCCCCACAACUGACCCUGCCUUCUUCUGCAAGCUCCAUUUCAUCAAGGGAAACGAUCCUUAUUGCCUCACCAUUUCCCACGUGAAGUCUGUAUUGACAUUCUCAUAGACCUGGGAUAUUGUGUCUGCAGCACAUAGUCCAAUUAUUUUCAUGUUAUCUACUGACAGGUCUAUUUGUCUCCCUGUUACACUGUGAGCUCCGUGAGGGCAGAAACAAUGUUAGUAUUUUCACUGCUGUGUCCCCAGCGCCUGGUCCGGGGCCCGGCACACAGCAGGCAUAUAAUAAGCAUGUGUUGAAUCAAUAAAGGCAUCAAAGAAUAAACCAAUACAUCAAUCAAUAAA